rnacentral:lncRNA from 1 species
UUGUUAUUUUAACUCAUUUUAAGUAAGUAAUUCAAACAAGCAACAACAAAUUUUUUUUGGCUGGAGAUCUCCAAACACAGUGUUGGCCAACCCUGUCCAGACAUCAAAAGUCAUUCAAACAUCAGUUUGAGAUGAUCUUUUUAAAUGAAGGAUGUUGCUCGGUUUCCAAGAUCUUCUCUUGAUCAUUCUCGACAACUUCUCCUUGUGAUCUUCCUCCUCUGUGUCACCUACAGGGAAAACGUCUGCUCUUUAAAGACCCUCUACUCUUUGUGUCCUCCUCCUCUAUCAAAGGACCACCCCGUAGCAGUUUUGUGAGAUCUCCAAACAGUCCCCCUGUACUUAAACACACUGAGCAAACUCGCAACACCUCAAGCCUGAAAGAGGCUUUGUGCACAUCACAAUGUCUUUCACCACUGUGAACAUCAAUCCUCAGCCAACACCAUCACUACGUAUUCCAGGUUGUAUUAGCAAAUACACAUGCAUUCAUACAAAUAAUGAGCUAAUAUUUGACCUAAAACACUGGGAGGUCAGGAAAUCAGAGACAUUUUGUGCGGCCUGUUGUUAUACAGAGCAGGUUGUAUCACGGUGGAUGAUUAUUUCUUUAUUAUGAAGAGGGAAAAUUAGAGCAUUUGCAUACAUUGGAUUAUAAUGAAUUGGAUUGUGAUGUGAGGCCCAGAGGCAUAAUAUUUAAACCCAGUGUUUGAACAUAUACAGAUGUUUUUUGAGUGUACGAUGUUCGUACUUUGGAUUUCAAUUGCUUUUUGUGUGUGUGUGACAAUGCAAUAAAAUGAUUUAAGUAUGAAAGGGAGGAACAAGGACAAAAUAAUAAGUGAAUAUAUUGCUUUCAGCAUAUACUUUAUUUUCUGUGAGCUUUUUGGUUUCAUUAAUUUUUGAUUCUUAAAAUAGAUUUUGAUUCUUAAAAUACAUUCUUUAUUUCUUUAUUUUUUAUAAAGACCAGACAAACAGACUCUUGUAUACAAAAAUAAAGCAUAAAAACAACACCAAAAAGGAAAAUUGUGAUGUAAAAGACAAAUUUGACCUACCAAGUGUCUACAAUAAAUCUAUAAAAAGGAAAAUUAAAGACAUU